UAAACAAAUGUUAUUUAUAUCAGUGUCAAAUUUACAGCUAUUUUGCAUCAAUUUAAUAGGACAUCAUGCAAUCUUUAUUGAUCAACGAAAUGUCUUGGAGUGAAAAACAUUAUAUUAAAUAGAUUAUAUUAGUGUAUUUUCAUCACAGUUGAAUUUGUUCCUUACUGCUAUUAUGUGAACUGUGAAAUGUGACAAUUUUAAAAUUGCUUGAAUCGCACUCGAUAUCCGGCUAGCGUUUUACACGGAAGUCAAAUUGAAAGGAUUAUCUUUUAAUCAAUAUAAUUAUUCGUUUUUGCUUCUGAUAUGAAUUAGACUUCGUUCUCUUAAAGUUUCAACUUUAGCAACAUGUUUACUUUAGACACAAAUUCAGUCAGACACACGUCGUCCGCUUAGCUCACCAGGGAAUGCACAGAUGUACGUCGAUCGCCCACUGAAGCGCAUCUUAUCUAUGAUUUGAUAAAAGACAUUGCCAUUUCAUCCACAACCUGUGAUUUACGUGAAGAGUUUAUACGGCAAACAGCCCGCCGUUACGUAACUGAAAUACUGCUGAAAAAACUGUGGUUAACAGAAAACAAAACGGACAGUAAAACUAUGGAACAAUUUUUUUCGAUAAAAUUGUCAAACUCCGCGAUCAAAUAACAUGACCGCAAGUGUUUCUAUGUUUGUACAGUUCUUUUUUCUUCUCUCUUUUUUCACAUUGAUGUAUUUGACUCCUUUUGGAAUCCUUUUAAGGUACUAAACCUCUGAUAUGAUGAAAGUUUACGCUAACAGUGGUUGUUUGAAUAGUAAGCUUAUAUUUGGACACUUCGGAGAAAAUGCAUGUUUUACAUGAUAUAAUGUAUGUCGUCAACAGUCGAGCGUUAUGACCUCUGGAGUACAAGGGAUUUAGUAUGCAUUAACUGUAUAUACCUACACCUAAGAUAAUGAUUUUACCUAUAGAUAUAUUAAGAUAAGUCUGGUGUGCAGUGUUAUGCUCCUAUAUGACUUACUGUCUUGGCCAUCCAUUCCUGAAAUGAUGUCCGGAGGGGAAACUAGGAUGUUUCUUCCAUUUAAGUUUGAAAAUAGAAAAAGGACCUUAAUUAUAUAACUUUGUACAUGUAUUCCACACGCCCAUAACCUAAGUCUGGUGCCCAGUGUCAUGCUCCUAUAUGACUUACUGCCAGUCCAUCCAUUCCUGAAAUGAUGUCCGGAGGGGGAACUCGGACGUUUCUUACAUUUAAGUUGGAAAAUAGCAAAAUGACCUUAAUCAUAUAUCUGUGUAUUCCACUGGCCAAAAUUCUACUUGUCGAACUUGAAAUAAACACCAAAACAUAA
rnacentral:lncRNA from 1 species